UCCGGGAGGCAGCAGCAGGGAAUUUUGGGCAAUGGGCGAAAGCCUGACCCAGCGACGCCGCGUGGAGGAAGAAGUCCUUCGGGGCGUAAAUUCCUGGACUGGGGGACGAGGAAGGACGGUACCCCAGUAGAAAGGGACGGCUAACUACGUGCCAGCAGCCGCGGUAAAACGUAGGUCCCGAGCGUUGUUCGGAUUCACUGGGUGUAAAGGGCGCGUAGGUGGUUGUCUGUGUCUCAUGUGAAAACUCAGGGCUCAACUCUGAGAUUGCGUGGGAAACUAGGCAGCUAGAGGACGGUAGAGGGGAGUGGAAUUCCCGGUGUAGCGGUAAAAUGCGUAGAUAUCGGGAGGAACACCGGUGGCGAAGGCGGCUUUCUGGGCCGAUCCUGACGCUGAGGCGCGAAAGCUAGGGGAGCGAACCGGAUUAGAUACCCGGGUAGUCCCAGCCGUAAACGAUGGGUAAUAGAUGUGGGGGGGUCAAGACCCUUCCGGCCGCAGCCAACGCUU
rnacentral:rRNA from 1 species